GAUGAACGCUGGCGGCGUGCCUAAUACAUGCAAGUCGAGCGAACAGACGAGGAGCUUGCUCCUCUCACGUUAGCGGCGGACGGGAGUAUAACACGAGUAUCACCUACUUAUAUUUCUGAGAAAAUUUCGGGAAUCCGGAUCAAAUCCCGUAGAAUAUAUUGAACCGCAUUGUGGAUUGGUAAAAGUCGGUUUUUCGGGCACUUAUAGCUGGAUCCGCGCCGCAUUAGCUAGUUGGUAAGGUAACAGCUUACCAAGGCAACGAUGCGUAGCCGACCUGAGGGGGUGGUCGGCCACACUGGAACUGAGCCACGGUCCAGACUCCUACGGUAGGCAGCAGUAGGGAAUCUGCCGCAAUGGGCGAAAGCCUGACGGAGCAACGCCGCGUGAGUGAUGAAGGUCUUCGGAUCGUAAAACCCUGUUAUUAGGGAAGAACAAAUGUGUAAGUAACUAUGCACGUCUUGACGGUACCUAAUCAGAAAGCCACGGCUAACUACGUG
rnacentral:rRNA from 1 species